GUUGGUGUCCAAGGCGGAGGGGGUCCACCCGGCUCCAUUCCGAACCCGGCAGUUAAGCCCUCCAGCGGCGAUGAUACUCCUUGUGGGGAAAGUAGCACGACGCCAACA
rnacentral:rRNA from 1 species